rnacentral:lncRNA from 1 species
UUCAUUUAGCAUGACCGGGUGCUUUCUUUCAAAAUGACCUUACAUGUAGGGCUUCAAUUCCCUACUAAUGAUGUUUGUUUAUUCUUUUCAGUUGGAAGAUCAUUCUUGAUGCAAAAGAUAAAGCCAAACUGAGUGAAGUCACUUUUGUCCUAUGUAAUCUGUUUACAUUAGAACGUCAUCGCCAAUGGAUUCAAGACGCAAGACCCAUUGUGUUCUUUCUCUAUGCAGAGUUUGCUGAUUAAGCAUUUUAUAUAAAACUUCAGAUACUACAAUGCUUCUGGGAGGUUUGUGACAGCCUGUAUCUGUGACCUUAGGAGUUUGUUUUCAAGCCUGGCUACCAGAAUGGACUGUGAACCACUUUCUCCUUGCUGGACAUUUGUUGAACUGAUACUUGCUACAUACAUUGCACCAAGGCCUUGAACCUGACCUUUGAACUCCUGAGAAUCCUUGGCUCUUUUUCUUCCGCAUGCACCUAACUCUGCCAGGCUGGGGGAAUUUCAUACUUUGAAGUCUGGAUUCAGCAACUCUAAGCUUUGUGAAGAAAAUUAAUAAUAAGAAAAUAAAGUUGAAACCCGCAAAUCACCUGCUAAUCAGAAUGGGCUAAAAUGAAGUUUCCUGCAAACACCAGUGUUAAUGCAAGCCUCAGAUGAAUGCCAGGUGGAGACUUUGACCAUGGGAAGUCUAGAACCCAGAUACUCCAACAUGGAAUGUGGCUGUCGUGAGCAGCAGGUUCACUGCUGUGCCAAACAUCUGCCCCGGUGAGUCUACCUUCUUGAAAGAUAUAUUUUAACAGACCCUAGUUCUGUACUGGGAAGCUAAGAAUCAAGGCUGCUCUGGGAAUGGAAAGAUGGCUUGGGCUCAGUCAGCUUUCAUUUAUUAGAUCUCAUUUUUCUCACGGGACCAUAGACUACACUGUUAUAAGAGAACACACUCUUUAAUGUUUGCAACUUAAUUGUAAAUACUGGCUUUGGAGAGAUACUGCAGGUGGAUGUUGAUUUUGUGUUGGGAAUGGCAGUUAUGGGCAGCAUCCCCUCAGCUCCAACUCCUGUGGCAGUACGAGAUGGCACUGAGCCCAAGUGAAAUGAGAGAAUGAGGUUCUGCACAUCUGUCCCCCCUCACCACAGUGGAUUCAUUGCAUAUUAUGUCUUUUAUGGAUAUUU